GAGGCAGAUUUCAAACCAGGACCUGACUGGCUCCAACACCACUACUGUUUCCUUAACAACAGGCAGUCCCUCUGAAGUGAGGUGUACCUAGGGCACCUAAGCAGAAUGAUUAAACUGGACCCAGAGAGAAGAGGUGUUUCCCUCAUAACUCAAGGACCUGUCACGGUCUGGAAGAGACAGGAGCAUAAAGGAAGGCAUCCGGAGUAUCAGGUUGUCAAAACCAGCUGCAAGAUGGAGGCCCUGGCACCAAAAGGCAAAAGGAGCAAUUGUCCACAGGGCUAAUGGCUGAAAAUAUGAAUAUUAGAUGGUACAAGUUAAUUCAUGUUCUUAACAGCAGCUUUCAGGAAGGACACAAAACCCUAACCAAUUCCAAAACAAUUUUAAGAGGCAUGCUGGGAAAUUGAAGAAAUGAAAGGUUGAAUUUCUGUUGCUUGGGCAAACAGAAGGCCUUGGAAACCUGUGCUGCCUGAUAUAACAUCAAGGUGGAGGCAAGAAACAAGUAACAGGUUAAAUGUUCACCCUAUUUCGUCUGGCUGGUGUCUUCUCUUUUGCCUAAUCAGCUUCUGAACAUUGGUGAGAAUAUGGAGUCGAGAUGAAUUACUGGUUAUGUGGGCAGAGGAAGAUGGCAACGAGAAGAAAAGUAAAGAUAGGGACCAGCACUGAGAGGCUCUCCUUUCCCAAUUUACAUGAAUUCUGAAGAUGCCACUAAUCCAGGGAUGCCUCAGAGCAUGAAGAUUGAGAAGGAAGCCAUCUGAAUGACUCAUUGCAAGCUCUUCCCACCAUUCUUGGAGCCUCAGGCUCAGAGCAUUGGUGUUCAUUUUCCUUUUCUUCUCUUCCAUACUGAACAAGCCUCAUGUGGAACUCCCAUCCUCUCUGUCUCCCAUGAAUCUCAGAGACAAUGAGCAGAGGUCUUCAAAGUGGGAGUAAGGAUUCAGGGCACACACAGUCUAGAAAGAAUGGAGGGAUAAACAAAAUAAUAUGCAUAUAUUUAUUGGAACAUACAACUAGGCAAGGUUCUAUCCUACACCCUCAAGAUUCAGAGACAUAUAAUCUUGUGAAGAAGACAAUCAUGGAACCAACCAACCAGAAGACAAUGGGGCUGGAUUCCUACUCAAACUGGCUAUGGCAAUUUCAGGUUGCAUAUUCACAACCUACAACCCUCAGAGGCAGAACUGGCUCCUGAGUUCCAGAAGCCUAAGCAAGAGUUCCAACACUAACACUAAUCACACUAGCCUAGGUCACAGCUCCAGCCCUGAAUCAAAUGUCAGCCAAAUAUAAUACCAGACUCCUGGAGACAGGAGGAGAGUCAGCUUUUCCCAAACUACAUGGAUCCCCUCAUGGAAAUCAAGAUAUUUCAAAGGAAAAUGAGAAAAUUGAUACUCCAGAGCAACCAAUAGAUGGGUACUAUAUGUAGUAUAACCCCAUUCAGUGUUUAAUGAAGAGUGCAUACAUCGAUUUUGCACGUUGUAAAAGCGAAUUAACCUGAUUUUUAAAAAAUAUCUUCUGAAAAUCCUCACAUGGUUUUCUCUGUUUCAUUCUGUUUUGCCUCAACCUCUGAGAUGAAAUAUGGCCAGUAGGGAUAUACUGGAUAUCAUUUACCAGUUUGGUGAGGAAGAACUGAACUUCCUUUGUGUUUGCUUGUUUUCUUUCCAUUCUUUUUUUUUUUUUAACUUCUUAGAAACUUAAGUAAUGAAAUCACAGUGAAAGUCAUUGCUUUAUUCUCUACCUUUUGUGUCUGAUUACAAUACUGUUAUCUUUCCCUCUGAGAAAUAGAUAUUUGCUUUAUCUUGUAUAAAACUAGCCUGACUUCCUAGACAAAGUGCAAACGUAUAAUAACCAUUUUGUUAGAGACUGGCUUACAAGACACUAGUACUUUAUGAAGAAAUGAAAAUUGGCCCCAGAAAGAAAUCCAACUAGAGCAUCACUGUCCACAGUAGAAGCUAAGCCCAUUCUGUGGUCUGUUCUUGCUCUGAAGCCACUUCUCAGCCUUGCACAUGAGUACAGGCAUUA